UACAGAGGGUGCGAGCGUUAAUCGGAAUUACUGGGCGUAAAGGGCUCGUAGGCGGCCGGCUAAGUCCGACGUGAAAUCCCCGAGCUCAACUCGGGAACUGCGUCCGAUACUGGCGGGCUUGAAUCCGGGAGAGGGAUGCGGAAUUCCAGGUGUAGCGGUGAAAUGCGUAGAUAUCUGGAGGAACAUCAGUGGCGAAGGCGGCUCACUGGACUGGUACUGACGCUGAUGCGCGAAAGCGUGGGGAGCA
rnacentral:rRNA from 1 species